CACAUGCAAGUCGAGCGGAUGAAGGGAGCUUGCUUCCUGAUUCAGCGGCGGACGGGUGAGUAAUGCCUUAGGAAUCUGCCUGGUAGUGGGGGACAACGUCUCGAAAGGGACGCUAAUACCGCAUACGUCCUACGGGAGAAAGUGGGGGAUCUUCGGACCUCACGCUAUCAGAUGAGCCUAGGUCGGAUUAGCUAGUUGGUGAGGUAGUGGCUCACCAAGGCGACGAUCCGUAACUGGUCUGAGAGGAUGAUCAGUCACACUGGAACUGAGACACGGUCCAGACUCCUACGGGAGGCAGCAGUGGGGAAUAUUGGACAAUGGGCGAAAGCCUGAUCCAGCCAUGCCGCGUGUGUGAAGAAGGUCUUCGGAUUGUAAAGCACUUUAAGUUGGGAGGAAGGGCAUUAACCUAAUACGUUAGUGUUUUGACGUUACCGACAGAAUAAGCACCGGCUAACUCUGUGCCAGCAGCCGCGGUAAUACAGAGGGUGCAAGCGUUAAUCGGAAUUACUGGGCGUAAAGCGCGCGUAGGUGGUUUGUUAAGUUGAAUGUGAAAUCCCCGGGCUCAACCUGGGAACUGCAUCCAAAACUGGCAAGCUAGAGUAGGGCAGAGGGUGGUGGAAUUUCCUGUGUAGCGGUGAAAUGCGUAGAUAUAGGAAGGAACACCAGUGGCGAAGGCGACCACCUGGGCUCAUACUGACACUGAGGUGCGAAAGCGUGGGGAGCAAAC
rnacentral:rRNA from 1 species